CAACUUUCAACAACGGGUCUCUUGGUUCUGGCAUCGAUGAAGAACGCAGCGAAAUGCGAUAAGUAGUGUGAAUUGCAGAAUUCAGUGAAUCAUCGAAUCUUUGAACGCACAUUGCGCCCCUUGGUAUUCCAUGGGGCAUGCCUGUUCGAGCGUCAUUUGUACC
rnacentral:rRNA from 1 species